CGCUAAUUUUUUGUAUUUUUAGUAGAGACAGGGUUUCACCACGUUGGCCAGGCUCAUCUUGAACUCCUGACCUCGUGAUCCGCCCGCCUUGGCCUCCCAAAGUGCUGGGAUUACAGGUGUAAGCCACCCAGCCCAGGCUAAGUAUAUAUUUUUUAAAAUGGAAAGAUCACAACUACACUGAAACAAUAUGAAAACCUUGGCAAAGAGACUGUUAGACAGCAGGCACAUAACACAUGAGUCCUGUCCUCCUCUCCCUGAGCACACUCUACUCACUUCUUGCUCUCCUCCAGAUUCUAGGCACUUCCUUAAUUCUGAACUCCUACCUCCCAGGACCUCUCAUGCCCUUCCACAUGCCCUCAUGUUUGUCCACCUGGAAAACAUCAUAGGUGCCCCAUACCCACGCCUCAUUAAGCCCUACUCAGUACGGCUCUAAGGCCACACCUCCGUUGUGACUGGGGGUUGGGUAAGGCUCUGCCACACCGGUGCUUUCCUGAGCACCCUCCUCAUUCCCCAAUUAUAAUCCUUAUCAUGCUUUGUGCUGUGAUGACCACACACGUCUGUUUCACCGGAAUGACAGGGAACUACUUCAAGUGUGGACAACAUACCUUUCUCACCUUUGAAUCCUCAAGUGUUGGGCAUGAUACUUGGGCCUUGGCAGUUCGUCAAAGGAGUACAGGAGACUUUCCUAUGUUAACAUCUUAACUUACCAUGGUCACCUCUCAGGCUCCUUGUCAUUUACAAAUGCCAUCCAUUCUUGCCUUUGAGCAUUUUUGCAAGCUGGACCAUCUGCCUGUGAUCUUCCUCAUUACCACUUAUUCUCAAGACAGCCAAGCUGUCUUUCCCCAACCUCUGGAGAAGCUCCUAAAAUUCCACCUCUCCUGUGAAACACGAGUUCCUCCACCACUUCUGGUCAGAGACUCCUGGAUCCAUAUUUAGGCAUAACGGCUCUCUGGUGUCAGCCAGUGUCAGAGCAUCUCUGAUACUGUAUCUCCAUUUGUAUCUCCUUCAAAGGCCCCAAAUGGAACUUACCAUGUGGCCCCCAGCUGGCCCAUCUUUUCCUACCAAUACACUUCUGUUGGAGCAUUGCUGAGCUUUUGGUUUCUCCAAAAUCUUCAGAGUAUUCCACUCAUGCAUCCCUAAAGCCAAGCUGUCAUCCAGUCCUGCUUUUUCCCCUCCUCCAAAAUGUUUUCAGAUUUGAUCUCCCAAUUUUAAGGACAGCUACAAUACAAUUGCCAUUUGAGGCUGGGCAUGGUGGCUCACGCCUGUAAUCCCAGCACUCUGGGAGGCUGAGGCAGGUGGAUCACCUGAGGUCGGGAGUUUGAAACCAGCCUAACCAACAAGGAGAAAACCCAUCUCCACUAAAAAUACAAAAUUAGCCAGGCGUGGUGGCACAUGCCUGUAAUCCCAGCUACUCGGGAGGCUGAGGCAGGAGAAUUGCUUGAACCCGGGAGGUGGAGGUUGCGGUGAGCCGAGAUCAUGCCAUUGCACUCUGGCCUGGGCAACAAGAGUGAAACUCCGUCUCAAAAAAUAAAUAAAUAAAUAAAUAAAUAAACAAUUGCCAUUUGAAAUGUUAUUUCUGGGAGGUCUUAUUCCUCUGAGCAGUUUAUCCUGCCUCCUUGCUGGAGUUUGUGCCUCCAAACUGCAUUCACUUUGCCAUAGAAGCCUAAGUGACAAGGAAUAUAAAAUUAAUUAUCACACUGCUGCAAAAUACUCCUACCCCCAAAAGGAGCCAGACACCAACAACAGAAAAUAAUACAACUUAUGUGGUCUCUCUGCCCUGCCACUGCACAAAGUAGUUUAGAAGAGGUUUCUUGGAGGAAUCACCUUUGUCUUUUGCUCUUCGCAAGAACCAAGAAGAGGGAGAGCAGAAAAACAACAAAAAAGUAACCAAAAAACAAAAACAAAAACAGAGACAGUAUUUUCUCUUCAACUACCCAGAGUCAAGCUUCUGCCCUCACUACAUGAAGACAUUUCCUUUGUCAAGGUUACCAGUGAUGCCAAAUCACUAAAUCUGAUGGCCAAUGAUGAGUCCUUAUUUUCCCUGACCUAACAGAACACUUGGCCCAGGUGAUGACUCCUCCCUGCUUCAAAUACUUUCUUCAAGUAGCCUCAGGCACAGCUCACUCCGUUGGUUUUGUCUCUCUGUCUCUGGUUGCUACUUCUCAGUCUCCUGUGCCUUCCUCCCCAUUUCUCAGACUUCAAGCAUCGGAGCAUCCCAGGGCUCAGUUCUUUGACCUCCAUCUCUCCUCUGUCUACACUUGGUAAUCUCAUCUUGCCUCUUGGCAUUGAAUACUACAUUUACAUCUCCAACCUGAAGCUCUCCCAAACCUCAGACUUUUACACUCACUGGCUCUCUGACAUCUUUACUUAGGUGUCCAAAAGGCCCUAGAAACUUUACAGUCUAAAAUCUAGUUCUCGAUCUUUCCUCCCAAAGCCGUUCUUCCCAGUCUUCCCCAUCACAGCUGCUGGCUACUUCAUCCUUCCCCCUGUUCAGGCUGAAGGUUUGCUGUUAUCCCACCACUGCCACUGCUGCCAUGUGGUCCAAGCCAUCUUCCCCCUCACUUGGGUUUGUUCAGUAGUUAGUAAUGGGCACUUCUUCUUCUGUUCUGUCCACUUAUUGUCUGUUCCCCACACGGCAGUCAGAAUGAUCAUAUUAGAGCCAGAGCUCUGGGUGAAACCCCUCAGGGGCUCCCAUCUCAAUCCACCUAGAGGCCAAAGUCUUUACAUGACCUAUACUUAGAACGACUCUGAAGUUUCUCAUCCAAACCAGGACGUUUUGAUAAUAAUAUUAGGACAGUAGGUAUAAAUGUGGAUGGUCCCAGGCAAACAAAAUAUAUACUUAUUCUUCCUAUAAUGCCCUGCACGGUCUGGUCCCUGUCAACUUCAGGACAUUAUCUCCUUAUCUUCUCUUCCUUGAUCCUUCUGUUCCAGUGACGCUGGUCACCUUGUUGUUUCUUAAACAUGUAAGAGAUGCACCUUUCUUGGGUCUUUCUGCUUGUUAUUUCCUCUACCUGGAAUGUUCUCCCCUUUGUUUACAUGGCAACCACCUUACCUCCUUUGGGUCUCGGAGCAAAUACUGCCUUCCCAAAAAGGUCUUCCUCUACCAUUCUACUUAAAACUGAGAACCCACUCCCCAUUCAUUUCCUACUGACCUUUAUUGCUUUAUUUUUCUCCAUAGCAUUUCUUCUGCCAUUGUUGAUAAAGAGUAUUUUCACUGGAUAUAGAAUUCUAUGUUGACAGGUUUUUUUUUUGUUUUUGUUUUUGUUUUCACUUUUGGCACUUCAAAGAUGACACUCCACAGUCUUCUGGCUUGCAUAUUACAAGUGACAUUUUGUAUAACUUAAAACAGUAAAUAACUGACAUUGAAUGAUACAUAUACAUUUCCUAGCCCUUGCUUGCUAGAACUUUCCUUGGGCUCCUCUAAGUUUAAAUGAGGCAUUUGCUGAUUUGAUAUAGAUAAUACACAUUUCACCAGGUACUUGUGUGGGUGUCUUACCUUGCAUUAGAAUAUCCUAGGCCUUUCUAAUUCUUCCUCUUGAAUUCCCUGUGUCACUCAUCUGAGGUCAUCUCUUGGAUUUAAAUACAUUUGGUCUGAAAUUCUCAAACUGCUGAAUAAAAUGCCAUAGUAAGUCCAACUAUAUGGUUUCAUGUAGGGUAAAGUAACCAUUGUGGAAGGAUUACGAUAAAACUGUGUGACAAUAAAUAGAAUAAAAGAUGGCAAAACAAUCUGUAAAUUACAAAGUGUUAUAAAAAUGCAUUGAAUUUCUAGUGUUCUUACACUUUCAUAUUUCUCAUUGGCACAUCAAUCAGACCUUGCCUUCCUAAAGUGGGAGGAAGAAAAAGGCUGCACCUGUCUGGGCUGAGGGUCUGGGCAGAACACUAGCAAAACUUUUAAUAAAUCUUCAUGUCACCACCCCAAACUCAUUAGGGCCCAAACUUAUUUCAUUAUCUUCACUAUCCCCAUGGUUUUCCUCUCCAUUAUUUUUCAUGCCCAUCUUCAGCACUUUCAUGUUUCUAGUCUUAGAAAACCCAAAGUUAAAAAGGAGAGCAACUUAAGAGUGUUCUAUACCUCUUUUCUCUCCUUCAUCUGUGGCCAAGGCUAUUUUUUCUUUCUUCUAAUUCUUGCCCAUAUUCAGUUCUUCUCUCCAUUUCCAUUACUAAAACCUUGGACUGAAUUCUCCUUAACUCAUGCCUGGAUGACCACAGCUAGCCUCUCUGACCACUCUCUCUUCAGCCUAACCCACCCUUUAUAUACUGCCAGAAGAACCUUCCAAUAACAGCAAUUGUCUUCCUAAUGCACCAUGGCCCAUGCCCACUGCGUCAAAUUCAAAUUCUCCCACCAGAGGGAGAGGCAUUUCAAGCCAUUCAUAAUCUGGCCCCCUUCCAAAGACCCUACCUGUCACAGCCCACCAGCUUCAGGCACCAAAAAUCCCAUCGGCUUGCUCAGCCAGUCCCUGAACCUAUGGGAGCCUCCAUAUUAGGAUUCCCCUCCUGACCAUGGCGGGGUGCAGAUUUGGUCUUGCUCUCUUCAAAGCCAGUGUCUUGGGAGUAACCUUCCACUCAAAACUUAACUACGCAUCUCAUGACCCACUUGGUUCUGAUAGAUGCAGGAGGCAGAUAAAGGGGAGGGUCCCUGGAGAAUCUCUGACCCACCUCUGCACUGGGAGAACGGGGUGGAGCCACGGGAAGUUCGUGCUGUGUGCAGGGAAAGGAGCCUGGCUUCUUUAGUUCCUGUGUGGUGACCUGGUGUUCAAUCUGUGCGGUGGGGGCCCAUUAGCAGGAUCCCCUCUUGCUUUGCAGAGAGUUUUUUUUCUUUUUGCCCAGUAAAUUCCAUUCCCCUCACCCUUCAAUGUGUCUGUGUUCCUAAUCAUUCCUGGUGGUGUGACAAAAACCUGGUUUUAGCUGAACCAAGGAGCAAAGCUCUACAUCAGUUCUACAUUGUACCUGUCAGACAUCAUUGCAUUUGUAGCAAAAAUGCAUUUUAUUCUUUGACCAAAAGUUUGUAGCCAACCUCACCGCUAAGCCCUCACAGGUCCUGAAAGGACAGAGGCAACAUAGCGGGGAAAGAGCACAAGCUUUAGAGCCAGAAAGCCCUGGGUUCAAACCCCAGUUUGCCUUCUCACCAGUGGCUACAUAAGCUUGGGAAUGUCACUUGAUCUCUUUGAGCCUUAUGUUUUUUCCCCUCCUUAUUUGAGAUAUAAUUCAUAUACCAGACAAGUUAUCCUUUUAAAAUGUACAACUCAGUAGUAUAUUCACAAAGUGGUACAACAGUCAAAACUAUCCAAUUCUGGAAUACCUCAUCACCCCAAAAAAGAAACCCCAUAACCAUAACCAUUAGCAGUCACUGCCCAUUCCCUUCUACUCCCAGCCCCUGGCAGCCACCAAUCUGCCUUCUGCCUGUACAGGCUUGCAGGAGCCUUGGUUUUAGUGGUCUCUAAACUGAACGUAACAUUUACCUUAUAGGAUUGCUGUGGGGAUAGAGACUGUUUUUCUUUUUCAUUUUUUUUUUUUUUUUUUUUUUUUUUUGAGACAGAGUUUCACUCUUAUUGUCCAGGCUGGAGUGCAACGAUGUGAUCUUGGCUCACUGCAACCUCUGCCUCCCGGGUUUGAGAGAUUCUCCUGCCUCAGCCUCCUGAGUAGCUGGGAUUAGAGGCAUGCGCCACCACACCUGGCUAAUUUUGUAUUUUUAGUAGAGACGGGGUUUCUCCAUGUUGGUCAGGUUGGUCUUGAACUCCCGACCUCAGGUGAUCUGCCCAUCUCAGCCUCCCAAAGUGCUGGGAUUAGAGGCAUGAGCCACUGCGCCUGGCCGAGACCAUUUUUCAAAAUGUCUACAUCAUAAUUUAGCAUCUAAGAGGACUAUAAUAAGUUGCUAACAGUAUAUUAAUUAUUUUUUGGCUCCUUCAGUGUCUCAAGUACAAAGACCUUUAGCUCCAGACCACCCCUGUUCUUUAUUACUGUCCUCACCCCUCCUGUCUGUUCUUACCCACAACUCAUUUUCUGUCUCCUAGAACUCUGCCACUCCAAACCCAACAUUUAAGAUCCAGCUGAAAUCCCACCUCCUACAUCAUGUGAAGUCUUCUCCAGAAUAAUGCUGCUUUUCACAUGGUUUUCCUAAGCUACCCUGAAGAGAAAAAAAGCCCUUUCAGUCUAACUUUAAACAUUUCCAAUAUAAUGAGAUUCUGGACAUGACUCCAGGCUAAUCAAACUUGUGUUUAUUCUAGAUACUGCUUUGUGGCACAUACAGAGCUGCUCACGCACACAGCUGCUUUGACACAGUAAAGAAAAAGAGUGCUAUGAUAUUUUCAGGAGAGAUUUCUGAUCUCGCAACCAAACUUCCAUUACCAGAUGACGCUGAAGCAAUAAAUAGUGACAUUUCAGUAGCUCUGUACAGGGCAGCUAGAUUUUUUCCACGUCCUUGUGAUUCACAAAUCUGAAGUCAUCAAAGAUUACAGCCUCUUCAGAGUUUAUUUGGUCUUGAAAACGCUCUUAAUGAGUUUGACAUUUUUAUUAAGUUCAAAGUCUUUCACCAAAGACUGGUGCAAUUACAGUCAUUUAUAAAGCGGCCAACAGGAGCAGAGUCUUGGCAGGCCCAUGACAGUGCCUUGCAAAGUCCGGCAGCCUGGACAUGCUCACCCAGUUUUCUGCCCCCUUGUCUUGGAAGCUCCAUGGAGGCCAUAAGGGAGCAACCCCUGGAGUGGUGUGAGAGUAGCUAUCCUGGAGUGCUUUCUCUAGCUGCUAAAGGCUUCCAUUCUAGGCUGAUUUCAUAAAUGCAUCAAUUCUCCCCACUACCCCCAGCCAAUCAUUGAGGCAAUAAAGGGAGAGGAUCUGCUCUCACACACAGCAGGAAGUGUUAAAUGAUAGUCUUUAGUAGAACAGAAUGGUAAUGGCUCUUGCUCUGUCAUCACAUGAGCCUGGACUCAAAUCUCGCUUCCAACAUGCACUCAUUUUAUCAUUUAAUUAUCUCACUGGUUGUUGGGCAAGUUAUUUAUUCUCACCAAAACCAAGUUUCCUCAUCUUUAAGAUAGGCAUGAUAGGUUGGGUACAGUGGCUCAUGCCUGUAAUGCCAGCACUUCAGGAGGCCAAGACGGGUGGAUCACCUGGGGUCAGGAGUUUGAGACCAGCCUGACCAACAUGGUGAAAUCUCCUAUCUACUAAAAAUACAAAAAUUAGCCAGGCAUGGUGGUGAGUGCCUGUAAUCCCAGCUACUCAGGAGGCUGAGGCAGGUGAAUCGUUUGAACCCGGGAGGUGGAGGUUUCAGUGAGCUGAGAUUGCGCCACAGCACUCCAGUCCAGCCUAGGCGACAGAGCAAGACUCUGUCUCAAAAAAAAAAAGAAAGAAAGAAAAAAAAAGACAGGCAUGAUAAUAGGGUAUUAACUGAGAUAAUGCAGGUGAAAUGCAGAAUGUAGUGUCUAGAAUGUAAUGAGUGUUCAGUUAAUGAUGGCUGUUGUUACUACUUUAAUUGUCAUUGUCAUCAUCAUCACUGCAUAACAUGAACCAGUUUUGGGGGUCACUGAAAAUGGUUGGGUGUGAUUAAUAAUUCCCAAUCAUUCUUUUUCUACUCCAGAUAUUUAGAAAGUGCCUCAUAUGUGUAAGGCAUUAUACCAGGUACUGUGGGGCUUAUGAUGAUUCAGACACAGAUUCUUCCCUCAAGGAUCUUACAGAAGAGUAAAGGUCAUGUAUUAAGACAAAGAAGACAAUGACAAGAAUUCCAAGAGAAGAGCAAACAAAACCUACGGGAAUUCAGAAGGGGAGUAUAGCAGAAAUCACAGAAGGUUUCCUGGAGGAGAUGUACCUGAGCUAGUAAAGAUGGUAAGAUUUGACCAUUCAAAGACUAGAAGGCAGGUACUCCAGGAGGAGAGCAAGACUUUGAAAUACAGAGCUUUCUGAGUGAGUAAGUCUUGCACAGAACACUAAUCCACAGUAUUGACUGUAGCUAAUUAGUAGCAUUUCCCCACGGAAUGCUGCAGAAUCUUAAUUGCUGUUUUAGUCUUAAAAAAGAAACACUUUGGCUGCCCAAAAUCAGUCACUUUGGAAGGAAAGUGAAAUAGGCUUUCACCAGAUGGAGUCAUAACAGAAAGAAGACACUAACCACGCCUGGAUGUUUUAGAAUUUGAGAUGUGAGAGCUUAUGGUCAAACAGAGAGCCAAAGUGUCUCUUGGUGAGAAGAUUUGUGGCUCUGCAGCUGGAAAGGAGCUUCCCAUACUGGGGGGCAUUGUGGGGAAGACAUUGGGGCUUUAUGCGGCUCCCAGUGUUUCGGCUCAAAGUGGGCCUCUCCACACAAUGCAGAGAGAUGACAUUUGCCCUUGAAUGCACACACGUUCCUCCUGGCCCACUGCCAGAGUCCACUGGAGCGGCUGAGCGGCAGAAGGGAACAGCUCUUAAUUUAUAAAAUGCUCCUCAUCAGGUUUUAUGAAGAAAAUGGAGCAGGGCCUUGCCAGGGGAGCACAUACCACGGGCUUGAUGGCAUGUAAUUAGCCUGCGUUAGUAUUUGGGCAGCAUUCCUGGUUUAAGGGCCUUUCUACCCUUGAGAUACUCCAUAGCAUUUCUAUGACCUCACAGGUGGUUAAGGUCUGGCCAGAACAACAGUUUGCCUGGGUUUGAACCUUAAAUCUAGGAGUGAAGAGAAAGCAUUAUGAUGUGGAUGAACAGGGCCUGGCAUAUCAGGGGCUCAUGAGUAUGUGACAAUGUGAAAAAAUAGUUAGACAGGAAGUGGGCUCUGUGUAUGAUGUCAGCUCAGAGGACUUGGACUCUCCGCAGGGGACAAGCAUCCAUAUUUCUACUUGGAUGGAAAAAAAAUACAGCAAAUCAAUCAAAUAUUUAUCUUGUAUAUACUGUGUAACCAGCAUUACACCAUGCUAGAGACAACAGAUUGGAUUCCAAAGAAAUAUAAAACAUAGUCUCAAAGAUUUACAAUUUAGCUUCGGAGACAGAACUAAGCCACAUGAAAUUCUUGUACCCAGUAACAUUUAUGGUUUUACUAAGGUUUGUCAAGUGGUCCUACCUUUAAAUACUGACAGUAGUGCAAGUGGAGUUCAGAGGGGGAAAAAAGGUCGGAGCAAAUCGGAUUAGUUGAAAAAGUUGUCAUAAAGUGGGCAGGACUUAAGCUGGGGUGUUCCUAACAUAAGUGACACAUGCCUUUGUCAAUCUUUAAAAAAUAAGUUCCGGUCAGAUGCGGUGGCUCAACUUGUAAUCCCAGCACUUUGGGAGGUGGAGGUGGGAGGGUUGCUUGAGCCCAGGAGUUCGAGACCAGCCUGGGCAACAGGGCGAAACCCUGUCUCUACAAAAAAUACAAAAAUUAGCUGGGUGGGGUGGUAUGUGCCUGUAGUCCCAGCUAGUAGGGAGGCUGUGGCAGGAGGAUCACCUGAGCCCAGGAGAUUGAGGCUGCAUUGAGCUAUGAUCUCGCACUACACACUGGGUGACAGAGUGAGACCCUGUCUCAAAACAAAAAAACAAAACAAACAAACAAAAAACACCUAAGAGAAACAGGAAGAACUGUGGAAGAUUCCAGCCCAAAGCACAGGGUGGGGCACAAAGAGAGUGUAGCAGGGAAUGGAGAAAUGACGUCUGCAAAACGGUGGACCCUUCUCCCCAGUCUUCAGUCAACUCCUGGCCUUUACAAUGAGUCCUCUAGCAUAUUUAUACUUGAUAUCACGUAUACCUCCUGGCCUUCCUUGUCUCAGUACCCAUCAAUGCCUAUAGUCAAAAGGUCAAACUCAUGGCCUCAGGGAUGUGUCCCGUUUGACUUUUAAAAUGUCAUGAUGUCGCCACUCUAGUCAAACUAGCACUCUUCAAAUGUAUCAUGGGCUGGAUACCUUCUGCCCUUAGUACUUGCUCUUGCUACCUUGGCCUGGAAGGGUCUUCUUGCUCAUCUUCCUGACCAAUUCUUAGCAGUCUUUCAAGGUCUAACUUUAAAACUGGCUCGGCGAAGCCUUUCCUAACCCCCAGGGCUCUGCCCACCAAGAUAGCCUGGCUUCCAUCUCUUGACCGGUCCUCUUUGCUCAGCUUAGCCUGCACUAGGAACACUUCUUGUUCCCCUGAAAGCCUGGGAGCACCUUGAAGGCCUGAACCAUGACUUAUUCAUCUGGGUGAUCCUAGGGCCCAGCACAGGAUUGGGACCAUAGUAAGAGCCCACUAAAUGUCUGGCGCUCACUAAAUAUCUGAGGGAGAAAUGAAAAGCAAUUCCAGGGAGCGUCUGAACUCACUUCCUUUGGGGCUGACACAGAGGUGUUCCCUGAUGAGACACACAUCGCAGGGCCCUGGCAUCUUGGAAGCCACGCCUGGGGACGAGAAGGGAUCUGCUUUCCCACCCUAGGAGGCCAAAGAGGGAAGAGACACUUCUCACAUAAGGCGUCGAGCUUGUUAAAAAUUCGUCAGUGUCAUCCAAUACUUGGGGGUGGGACAUAUGCAGGAGAAACUAAGUCAUCAGAACUAGGUGGUUUGACCAGGAGUCUUCUCCUCCUGUUCUUCCAAACAAAGUAUUAAAAGUGCUUUCUUUGUAUACACGAUUUUUGGUAAAAAGCUAUUUCUUUAAAAGUCUAAUGAUCCUUAAAAUGACCUCUGUUAUUAUGCCUUUUAUAAUGUAUGUUGUCUAUAGAAAUAGCUGGCAUAAACACUCUGUAAAGAAGUCUAGAAGAGCUGCAUGUAUAUGUUACCACAUGUGUAUUUUGGUAUAUAUACACACAUAUAUCUGUGGGUGUGUGUGUGUGCACGUGCCUGUACCUAUUUAGCAACUUUCUGAAUCUCUGAAAAUUUGCAAGGUAUAAUACAUAUCAAUUGCUAAAGAGUCCAAUUGUCAGUUUCAGCCAGGCUGUUCUUACACAUAUUCUUGCCUACUUGAGACAGGAGAUUCCGGGUAGCACCAAGGAAGGCCUGUGACAGAAAACGUCCCCAAGAAUUUGAGACAUUUAAUGCUAUAAUUUAGAAAUAAUCUAAAUGGUCAAUGGCCCCACCCAGAAACAAGAUUAAAACAACAGUAUUUUUUGGAACAAUAAGAAAAGAAACAACUUCAAAGUGAAACUUUCAAACAAAGAAUUUGGACUGACAGAAAAAAGUGAAAUCUAGUUAAAUAUUUUGGUUUAGCAAGAGCUCCCCUUUGCCUCACCCAGCCCUGUUCCCUAAAGCUUGUGGCUUCAAUGUUCCUUGGCUGCUUUCCUUCUUCCCCACACGCCCUCUUUGGCUGCUGCUCUUAAACAACAGCAUUCCAAGCCAGGAGAACCAGGGUCACCUAGGGGCCCGACAAACCAUUGCCACUCUUCCACCUCCCUCUGCUGCUACAUGCUUCUGCUGUCUCCAAAACAGAGCUGCGCUCCCCAGCCAGGAGGCCCGCAGGAUUCUAACCCUACCAUGUAGAAGGGGAAACAAACAGAAGGUGGUUCUAUCAUUAACAAUUUGGCCCAAUUGAGCCUAAAGAUUUUUGUCUUUAGGAUCAACCUAGACCCUGUCCACACCAGGAAACUUUAGAAUUCAAAGAGUUCCCACAAGUGACUCAAUCUGGAGUAACUAGAUAGAACUAAUAUCUUAUUCUGUCCCCAUGGAGCCAGUGUUAAGUUGAUACUAUGGACAAUCUGAAUGGCAACUCAGUUUAUAAAAUACAAAACUCUUAGCAAUAAGCUUUCACAGAACCUUCUGGAAGAUGAGGCACUGAUGCAUUUAGUGCAUCAGAAAAACAGAUGGCCACUUCUGGAAUGUGGUGGAAGACUUUCAUAAAAAAAAGGCCUUUGGAUAAUUAUCUUGUGUUUGUACUUGGAGAAGAAGAAGAAAGAGAGAAAACCACAACAAUGUCACAAUCUGACUGCGUUCCUACCCACAGAAGGGUGACACACACUGUGUCAUUUGUGGAAGGCCACUCUCCCCUCAAACCCAUCAGCAAAAUAGAAGUCGCCCCAACAUUUCACUCAACCACCACAGACAGUGAUUCCUCUAAAGACAUGUUUUUAAUAAAGGAUGAAACAAAUACUCACAAGAUAAAAGCACAAACAAGGAAUACCUCAAGGACAUUCUGGUUGUGAUUUUAAAAAUUCAAAACAAACAAAACUGAACUUUUGCUGGAAAAGAAGCAACAGUGAGGUAGGAUGGAUGAUGCAUGUCCUGACUUUCAUGGUUAGCAGAUGCUGAAACGGUCACCAGCGAAAAACUGUGCUAUGUCUCUCAGUCAAAUCGAUGUGCAUAGUUAACAAAAACACAGACACAAGUCCCUUUCUGUCACUUUCGCAGACCUUGGGCAAGUUUCUUAGCUUCUUUGGGUCUUGGUUUCCUCAUCUGUAGAAUGGGUAUAACAGUAGCUACCGUCUUUAAAUGGAGGGCGUUGAACUAGCAGAUCUUGGGGUGAUGGAGUUGGGGGAGUCUUCUGCUCAAUAAUUCAAGGGAGAAUGUUCUCCACUUAACAGGACUCUUUGGAAAUACAAUCUGCAUCCCCUGGACUUGCAUACACACAUGUGCAAUUUUAGGCCCUCUGAGCUUCCAAGUUCUGAACAUAUGGCUUGUGUAUUAGUUCAUUUUAAAGCUGCUGAUAAAGACAUUUGAAACUGGGAACAAAAAGAGGUUUAAUUGGACUUACAGUUCCACAUGGCUGGGUAGGCCUCCGAAUCAUGGCAGGAGGCGAAAGGCACUUCUUACAUGGUGGUGGCAAGAGAAAAAUGAGGAAGAAGCAAAAGCGGAAACCUCUAAUAAACCCAUCAGAUCUCAUGAGACUUAUUAACUAUCAUGAGACCAGCACGGAAAAGGCCAGCCCCCAUCAUUAAAUUACCUCCUGCCGGGUCCCUCCACAACACAUGGGAAUUCUGGGAGAUACAAUUCAAGUUGAGAUUUGGAUGGGGACACAGCCAAAGCUUAUCACCUUGUUAAAACAAAUCUUUAGGAUUCACAGUGUCUGACUUCCAGGCCUGUCCACUCAUAGUACCUUUCCAGCAAUCACCCAUUACUUGUAUAGAAGAGAGCUUCCAAUCCCAAUCUGAUUAAAGAGAGAAGCUCAUACAUUUAGUUUAGUAAGAAACUAGCUGACUUUUCAAACUCAGCUCAUCUUUGUUCUCUAUUCCAAACUUUUCCUGUUUAUACCAUAUCACCACUUAGUUCCCACCACUGGGAUUGACUGACCCCCUAGAUAGCUGGUAAAUGCUUCCUUCUUCUUUGACACCUAGCUCAGAUGUCACCUCUUCAGAGAAGCCUUCCCCAAUCCCUCCCUCCCAAAGGAGACUCAGCUGCUCACUUAUUUCCGCUCCCGAGCUCCUUGUAUAUCCCUCAUGCAUAAAAUAUACUUUGUUAACUUCUAUCUCUCUUUCUUGACUAGGAAGUCCUCCAGACCAAGACUGUAUCUUAUUUCCCCUCAUGCACAUCACACAAUACUGAUAUGGGGUAGGAAAUGGGUUAAUGCUUGUUCGAUACAUGGAGGUCUGAGCACCAGCGAUCUGGAGCACAGCUUUCCCAUGUCUGCUGCUGAAGCCUGGGAAGCAGCUGAGACCCCAGGGAAGAGGCCUAAGGUCUCCACCUAAGGCAAUGUGGGGAGCCUCUUUGAUUUUGGAAGCCUGGAUCAUUUGGGCACACCUGGGUCGGGCUGGAUACUCUGGAGCUCAGGCAGAGGCUGGCUCACAGAGGGCAGAAAUCCCAGCUACUAAGAGGGGAGGCCGAGGUGGGUGGAUCAUGAGGUCAGGAGUUCAAGAACAGCCCAGCCAACAUGGUGAAACCCUGUCUCUACUAAAAAUACAAAAAUUAGCCAGUCGUGGUGGCAAAUGCCUGUAAUCUCAGCUACUGGGGAAGCUGAGGCAGGAGAAUAGUUUGAACCCGGGAGUUGGAGGUUGCAGUGAACUGAGAUCGUGCCAUUGCACUCCAGCUUGGGCAACAGUGACACUUUAUCUCAGGAAAAAAAAAAAAAAGGAUUCAUCCAGGCUUGGGAACAGACUGGAGUGAAAGGAAAUAAGAGUCCAGUGGAUCCCUAGGCUGUGAGGCAGAAGGGGCAGAGAGAGGGACCGGGCAGGAAAAGGCAACCCCCAUGCUGAGCUGCAUUCAGCACCAUUGUGCAGCUCAUGUCCAGCUGCCCCACCUCACCACCCUCUCAAGUCCCUCCUGUUCCUGGGCACCUUUCCCCUCUUCCCUCUUUCUCAUCAGCCCCCAUUCUUAGUGAUUUCAAACAGUCACUAAUUUGGGUAGUAAGAUUUUUUUUUUGCCGGGGGGGUGGGAAGGGGUGUCAGGAUCUUGUGUUGUUGUCCAGGCUGGAGUGCAGUGGCGCAAUCAUGGCUCACUGCAGUCUCGACCUCCCAGGCUCAAGCAAUCUUCCCACCUCAGCCUCCCAAGUAGCUGGGACUACAGGCACAUGCCACCAUGCCUGGCUAAUUUUUGCAUUUUUUUUCUAUAGAGACAGGGUUUUGCCAUGUUGCCCAGGUUGGUUGGUCUCAAACUCCUGGGCUCUUGUAAUCCACCCACCUCGGCCUCCCAAAGUGCUGGGAUUACAGGUGUGAGCCACCAUUCCCCAGCUGAUAGUAAGAAUUUGCAUCCAAACACCGAGGACAGAAGAGCAGGAACAGGUAGGAGGGCACUGUCAUCCUGCCUUGUCACACUGUCUCCAGCGAGUUAGGGUGCUUUUAAAAGGUCACCCAUGAGGGUUUCUUACAGGCUCUUUUUAUCACAAUGGACAAAGAGAUAAGGCUGGGGACAGGAUAGAAACCUCUGCUCACUUCCUCUGCUCACUUCUCCACUUGAUUUAGAUUUGGCUCUGACCCUCUCUGGAAAGAACCUGAGGUUCAAAUCUCUAUUUUCGCUAGGUGCAUACCCUUGGAAAAGUUAAUGAAUCUCUCCAACAUUCCAACUGCUCUGCAUUAAAACAAAGAUGCUCCUGCUGACCUCACAGAACUAAGCUGGAACGCGAUGAGAGAGGGCAGGCAGGACAGUCAGCUCAGCAUGGGGUCCGUGUGGCUGCUUGCUAAAUGUUACUCCUCACCCCUCCUCUCAGUCAGCACUGAAACUCAGGACUUGUAACACCUCGAUGCUCAAUAUUCUAAUGCAUGCUGUUCUCAACCUAGAGGCAGGCUACGUUCCAAACAUUUGAAAGCUGAACUAUGAACGUGUUUUCCCACAAAAUGCAUUCUGUAAAUGGUGAUUGGGUUCCCAGACCUAUCUAUAAAAGUGAAUCCAGCCCACAGUGUAUUCACUUUUAUAGACAGGUCUGGGAACCCGAUCACCACGUAUAGAACAGUGACACAAUUCUGUUGUUUUUCUGGAGACCAGAACCCAACUACCCAGGAGGGCAUGGUUUCUGUGGGAAAAUGUGUUCUGAAUUCCAACUUGUCAUGCCGGGCAAACAGCUUCUCCUAGCACCUCUACAGACAAGUAACAGCUCAAUUCCUGGGGCGGCAGGGCCAUGUGGCUGUGCACACGCUCAGAUGGCUCUGGGGGCUGCCAACAGCCUUCUCCCUGCCACUGCGUCCUGCAGCUCCUGCCCAUCAUGGGCUUCACUGCUGGUGGAACAUGGGGGAACAGGGCAUUCACCUCAACAACUGUCAAGAACCUCAAAUGGUUUCCCUGCCAAAAGAUCCAAACUUCCUCUCUGCUUCUUCCCAUGGUGGCCACAUGUUGGCUUAGAAAUGUGUGUACUUUUCUCUUUCAAUGUUACUGCUGUGUGAUAUGGAGGAAACAUUGCAAGCUAUGGAGAAAAACCGUAGCUCAAAUCCUGGCUACAUCACAUGCUAGCCAGUGACCUUGGGCCAACAAGCUAAUCCCCCAGCUCUCUUUUCCUCGUCUUUAAAAUGAGGGGCAUUAACAUCUGCCUCAUAGGGAUGGGAAAAUUACACGAAAUAAUGUUCAUGAAAACACGACAUGGUGCCUGUCACCCAUCAGGCCCACAAACAUUUGUUUUCUUCUUUUCUUCCUUUAUUUCUGUAAUGAAACCACUUCUGAACAAUACCAUUCCCAUUUACCUAUUUACCUGCUGCCUUUUUGUUAUAUACCCACUUUUUUGUUUCUCAGUUUUUGGUAUAUGGAACAUAUCUGGAUUUAUUGAUUUUUUUUUUUUCUAAAAAAAAAUCUGGCCGCAGUCUGAACAUCUCUCCCACAAAUAGGCUGGUUGCAAACAUUCUUGCAGAAGGUUACACUGGGCCUCAUACUCCCAACAGCUGCCCUCUGACAUCUCCUGGAGCUUCACCAGCAUGAAUUCACCAGGUGUUUGUCCUUGAACUCUCCCUUUCAGUGUCAUCUGCCACACAUGGAGCAUGUCACAUGUGUGACAGGGAAGCCCAGGGGAUGAUCUGCUCCUCUACCUUGCAGAUGGGAGUCAGCCAAGAGGAUCGGUAUAGCAAUGCUCUUGCUGUGUGAGAAGUGAAGCUGUCUGAGCGAUCAAAAUCUUAUCACAUAGUUAUAUGUUUGUGACAUGCAUAAACAGAAAACAGAAGGAGAUGUAAAGAAUGACACUUGAGCUUAGACCAAAGGUAGGCACAACAGGGCAGCCUUGAAAGGCUAGAAAAGCCAUGGACAGCCAAUUGCAAUUCCGAACUCCACCACACACUACUGUCUUACCUUCAGUCACUGACUUUCUCCAAAUUCCAGCUUUCUGAGGUUCAUAAUAAACAAUUGCCUUGCCUAUUUUGUGACAAUAGGUAAGAGGAAGUCUAUAGAAGUGCUUUUCUAUUUUGAAAAGCCCUUUCACAACACAAGAUAUUGUCAUUACUGUUAUCAUACAUACUGUCAUAUGAGAACGGACUAUUCUUUUUUUUCUUCAACUUUUUUUUUUUUUUUUUUUUUUUUUUUUUUUUGAGAUGGAGUCUUGCUCUGUCGCCCAGGCUGGAAUGCAGUGGCGUGAUCUUGGCUCACUGCAAGCUCUGCCUCCCGGGUUCAAGCCAUUCUCCUGCCUCAGCCUCCUGAGUAGCUGGGACUACAGGUGCCCACGACCAUGCCCGGCUAAUUUUUUUUUGUAUUUUUAGUAGAGACAGGGUUUCACCGUGUUAGCCAGGAUGGUCUUGAUCUCCUAACCUCAUGAUCCGCCUGCCUUGGCCUCCCAAAGUGCUGGGAUUACAGGCGUGAGCCAUCGUGCCUGUCCCUUCUUCAGCUCUUAAGUUCAGGGUGCAUGUGCAGGAUGUGCAUGUUUGUUACAUAGGUAAACAUGUUCCAUGGUGGUUUGCUGCACAGAUCAUCCCAUCACCCAGGUAUUAAGCCCAGCAUCCAUUAGCUAUUCUUCCUGAUGCUCUCCCUCCCCCCACCCACCCGUUCUGACAGGCCCCAGUUGUUCCCCACCAUGUGUCCAUGUGUUCUCAUCAUUCAGGUCCCACUUAUAAGUGAGAACAUGCAGUAUUUGGUUUUCUGUUCCUGCGUUAGUUUGCUGAGGAUAAUGGCUUCCAGCUCCAUCCGUGUUCCUGCAAAGGACAUGAUCAUGUUCCUUUUUAUGGCUGCAUAAUGAGAAUGGCCUAUUCCUAUCAACCUAGUCCAGGUCCACACGGCCUCAAAACUACAUUAUUACAAGCUGCCAAAUCAGUCUUCGUCCAGCACUGGCUCAUGCCAUUCUGAAAUUCUGCUGUGAACAAACGUAUUACGGAAUAUUUCAAGUCUUCAGACAAAGAUAGGGAAUGACACCACAAACACUUGGGUUUCCAUCACCCAGAUUUGUCUUAACCCAACAGAUAUGACUGAACGUCCUUCCCUCAACUCCAUUCCCCUCUCUCCUUCAUCAGCCGUAACCACUAUCUUCAAUUUGGCAUUCAUAAUUUCCAUGCAUAUUUAUAUUCCUACUGAUAUGCACAGAUCUAGAAAUGAUUGAUGGUAUUGUUUUACAUUUUUAAAAAGUUUCUGUAAAUGAUAUAGUACAUUUAUAAUUCAGAAACCAUCUUUCUUUCACAUUUGAUUUCUUAUUUGUGUCCAUGAUGACACAUGUGGCUCUAGUUUUCCUGUUUUUAAAGUGUUACUCUGUACUUCAUUACAUGCAUAGCCACAACUUAUUUAUCUAUUCUCGUGGGGAUGGAGAUUGAGAAUGUUUCCAAUUAUUGGUGAUAAUAAACAGUGCUGCUAGCAACAUUAUUGUACUCGUCUCUGUGCACACAUGUACAAGGGAUUUUCUGGGUAGUAUUUUUCAAACUUUUUACUGAAACCAACAGUAAGAAAUACAUUUUAGGCCAAGUGUAGUGGCUCAUGCCUGUAAUAUCAGCACUUUGGGAGGCUGAGGCCGGAGAAUUGCUUGAGGCCAGGAGAUCAUGACCCAACAGGGUGACACAUGGGGCCCCAUCUCUACCAAAAAAAGUUAAAAAGUUAGCUGGGCAUGGUGAUGCAUGACUGUGUUUCCAGCUACUUGGAAGGCUGAAGUGGGAGGAUCCCUUGAACCCAGGAGGGCAAGGAUGCAGUGAGCCAUUAUUGUGCUCCUGCACUCCAGCCUGAAUGACAGUGAGACUCUGUCUCCAAUAAAUAAAAAAAUAAAUAAAUAAAUAAUUUAUAUCACACCAGACUACACAAAACACAAAAUAUGUAUGCACACACACAAACACACACAAAUUGGAACUAUUUUAUGAAAUAGGACUUAUUACUCUUAUAUCCUAUGUCCUUUAAUAUAUUCAAGUCCAUUUAAUUCUAUAAUUUACAUGCUGGUCAAAAUCCACUAAAUUCACUGUAUAAGGCAUUAAUGAACCUCGGAUAUAUAUUCAGACCUGAAAUUGCUGAGUGAAUGCAUGACUAUGUGAAUCUCCAACUCUCCAUUGUAAAACUGCUAUUUUAAAUCACUCUCCAGCAAAAAAAGAAAGCACAAAAGGUCCCUAAUGUCUAACAUCCCACAGCAAAUUCCUGGGUCUCUCUCACAAGGCUUCCCAUGACUCACCCACCUCCCUGACCAAAUUGUCAACACUCAGUCAUUAACCCUUUGACAGAUCUCCCCAUGCUCCCACAACACACAUUGCUUGUUCCUGUCUUUGCUCAAACUGUGCCCCCUGACUGCAACACUCUUUUUCUCCCACUCUGCAUAACUGAUACCUAUCUCCCCCACAUGUAUUCCAAGCUACCCCAGCCCCAUACUGCCCUUGAACAUAAGCCUCAUUUAAAAGCAUCACUGGCCAGGUGUGGUGGCUCACGCCUAUAAUCCUAGCACUUUGGAAGGCCAAGGUGGGUGGAUUGUUUGAGCCCAGGAAUUCGAGACCAGCCUGGGUAACGUGGUGAAACCCAUGUCUACUAAAAAUACAAAAAAUACAAAAAAAUUAGCCGGGUGUGGUGGCACAUGCCUGUAGUUCCAGCUACUAGGGAGGCUGAGGCAGGAGGAUCACCUGAGCUUAGGAGGUCGAGGCUGUGGUAAGCAGAGACUGCAUCACUGUACUCCAUUCUGGGUGACAGGAGUGAGACCCUGUCUCAGAAAAAUAAAUAAAUAAAUUAAAAAAAAUUAAAAAUUAAAAAAAAUAAAUAAAAGCACCAGUAUGAUAUUUCCUCCUAAUCUUCAGCUGUGUCUCACUUUUCCCAAUGACAAGAUUCUUUUUUUUUUUUUUU
rnacentral:lncRNA from 1 species